AAUAUUGGACAAUGGGCGCAAGCCUGAUCCAGCAAUGCCGCGUGAGUGAUGAAGGCCUUCGGGUUGUAAAGCUCUUUCGCCCACGACGAUGAUGACGGUAGUGGGAGAAGAAGCCCCGGCUAACUUCGUGCCAGCAGCCGCGGUAAUACGAAGGGGGCUAGCGUUGUUCGGAAUGACUGGGCGUAAAGGGCGCGUAGGCGGCGCAUCAAGUCGGGCGUGAAAGCCCCGGGCUCAACCUGGGAACUGCGUUCGAGACUGGUGCGCUGGAGUUCGGGAGAGGAGAGUGGAAUUCCCAGUGUAGAGGUGAAAUUCGUAGAUAUUGGGAAGAACACCGAUGGCGAAGGCAGCUCUCUGGACCGAUACUGACGCUGAGGCGCGAAAGCGUGGGGAGCAAACAGG
rnacentral:rRNA from 1 species